GCAUUGAGGAGCCAGCCGAGCCACCCGGCGUGCUCGUGGCUGCUCUCAGUUGUUGUUGAUUCGGCUAGCUCCGACUCGAAGGGACGAGGAGAACGGAAGAGGCAGAGGGAAGGCGGGGAGAAGGAGCAGCUAGCGGUGGUCGAGCUCCGGGUCGGGAGGCAGGGCCCCUAGCUAGAGGCGUGUGCCAUCCAUGAGCAUCCCGAAGCACCGCCGCGGGUACCUCUGCUCCUUCCUUUAGGACCUCGAAGCGCUCGCAGACCUGUUCUGGGACCGCACGAGACUAGAGCGGCUGCUCCCGAGAAACUCUAGAGACCAGUUCUUGGUCUAAAACCUCAGGAGAGACGGACCGAGACUGGUUCCGUUGUAGCUAAACUAACGACUUCGUGCUCGGUUUCUUCAGAGCUUAAAAGAACUUUACGAUCUGUGAAGUCCUUUACUUGCCGGAAGUCUAUAAGCACCCGGUGUUGUCUUCCUCACCUUCCAUAUGUUUAAUUGAUUUCAAUUAUACGAACAUGUUUUCAUAACACUUGUAAUACACUAAUCUUACACGUUAUUAUUUAAAUACAAAAUGACAAAACGUCGUAUCGCAUUAGUCAAGUGACUAAAGAAAGAAUAAGAUACAAAGUUCUCACGUUAUCAAAUGGUAAAAAAAACACUUGUACUUCUUACGGUGUUCCGGGUUCUAUGUUCCCACCACUGUUGGUUUUGGGUUUUGUCUUUGUUUUCUUUUUGUUUUGUACUUGCGAAUAACAUCCGAUGGUUUUUCCUCUCCCUAUUUCGCCUGUACCUCAAAACCAAGGGUCCACCUACUUAUAAUUUGAUUCUUUCUUUUAUCGUUACUUUAGAUUUUUCGAUACUUGAAAAAAAUACUGUUUGUAACUACGUAAAAAGUGGACACACGUUACAAAGCACUUCUUUUUUGUAAACAUUACGGGACCUUUUUUUACUACGAUGUUUUUCUGAUAAACACUUUUGUAAAACCUUGUGGAAAAGAAACGGGUCUGGAGCUGCUUACAAUAAAGUGGUGCCUUCAAAUGUACAUGCCUCUCUUGAUUCGUUGUAAACAAACAAAAUUUUAUUUUUAAUCUAAAAAAUUUAUAAAAAACGAUAAAAGAACUCAAUACGAUAAAUAUCGUCCUGGUAAACUCGAGCCCUCGUCUUACUACGAAAGUCCCUAUUCGUCGUGGGAACAGUUUUAUGUAUGGUGGUUCUCACUUUACAAAAUGGAAACAAACAUCAAAUCAUAACACGAGGUUUCAACCGACAAGAAAAUAGAAUAAGGGAGCAAAUCUCUCACCAAUUAACAAAAGAAACCAAAAGCACGUUCAAGAUACUUAACGAACUUACAAGCCAUUAAGACAAAACAUCCACUUCGUCCUAUGUCUGGUUAAUGCCCAGUACAUGGCGCUUCCAGGUCUACCCUGGGGUAAAGUAUGAGAAGAACGACUUCCGAAACGACUACCAGGAUAGCUACAAACAUGUACGCACAGUACCCUUAGUCCAGAUAUGUCUUUUACCAAAGGCGUCAUGUUAGACGGUUGUAAAUUUUAGCGAGUCAGUCCAACGAACUUUUUCUAAGCCUAACCACUUCUUUAAAGAAACUAGUCCCACUUCCAGGGGACCGGUCAAAGUCUCUCUCUUCGAGAAGAUGUGAUGAAAGUCAAACUCAUAGAAUUUCUUCUGGAACAGUAACACUAGUACUUUUGAUAUAGGUUAAACCUAUUAGAGUCAUACGUCUGUGUACCUAAAUGAUAUCUACCUUAGGGACUUCGACCACUGUGCUAAGCCUACCUACAUCAACCUCCGAAACAGAAUGUCUCCUAAUGGUUCCUUUCUUCAAAAAAGUCCCGUCAUCGAUUAUACCUGUAAUUCGAUCUGAAACAAGGGGGUACCGACUAGUUGAAAUACAGGUCUGUCGAUUAGCCGUCACCCGUAUUCGAUAUGGUCUUCCGACAAUCAUGACACCGGCGAACACUACUUCUGAUGUUCGUUCGAAAUGCUCGUGGCGAGAUACGUUCUUAUGCGCUCAUGGUCGUAAGACGACUGUUCCGUUUCCACUGACGUCAACUCCUUUCGCGAUUACUUCACGAGGGACUCUUAGGGUGACAUGUAUUAGGAGACCGUCAGUGAUGAUUAGAGUGUGGUACGUCACUCUAAUAGCUUCUUCUCUCACUUGUCUUGUGUAGAAAAUUCGACCUAUUAGAACGUUGGCCGAAAAGAUUGGUUGGUCGGCCCGUUCACGUCGUUCAACUUUUAUUCAGAAAGUGAUCAGGACUAUCUUGUCAGUUCGUUCGUGUCGUUCAGCUUUUAUUUGGCUACUAAUCAGGACUCCACGUCUUCCGAAACCCGUAUGACCUGUGACGGUAACGUCAAGAAGUUCCGUUGUCUAGACGUUUGUAGUCACGAGAGUCUUUCGAGGAGUCAAUACUACGUUGCAGCCUUCUUCCUUCACGGUAGUCAUGUUCUUUAAGUGUAUGGGAGCUGCAAGAGCUAUGUCUGUUAGAGGGUUUACCUCUCUAGGCCGUUUGAAUAAAUUACGGGCUGUUCCUCCACGCGCUGUCCCUCCUUCCACGAUCGCUUUCACUAAGAGGAUUUUGGUACUGGCGAAGAUGGUAUUGCUGCUGUUUUAGGUACUGUAACUCCUCGUGUUAUUUCCACGUACUUCUUCUCUGGGACUUAUCGCUACCGGAGAUAGUCUUGUCAAAGGUGUUACCUUUUCUCGGGUUCUCUGGUUUCUUCUGGUUUUCCACCGAAACGACGAAUUGCGGAUCGUGGCAUCCUACUGCUCUUGGGUAGCAUCCCCGAGAGUACCAAUUGAGAACUAAAAAAACCAACCUGUAGUCUUUUAUCUGCUCGAUGUGUUCUACCUUGUACCCCUAGUUUACUGUUAAGGCCUCCGUCGAACACUCUAUCAAUGUUUCUAAUCUAGUACAGAAACCAUUUACAUAUCUUCAAUACAACAACAUUGUGGUACAUUUUGUAAUAAUCUCGUAGAGGUUGUUUAUUACAUUUUGAACCACGAGUUUUUUUCAAAAAUCCCGUACUCUCUCUUCCAAAACCCGUGGCGUCGUCAACAGUGAAAUUGUCUACUAAACGAG
rnacentral:rRNA from 1 species